GCCGGGCGCCAUGGCUCACGCCUGUAAUCCCAGCACUUUUGGAGGCUGAGGCGGGUGGAUCACCUGAGGUCAGGAGUUCGAGACCAGCCUGGCCAACAUGGUGAAACCCCGUCUCUA
ensembl:misc_RNA Metazoa_SRP Metazoan signal recognition particle RNA